UUCAGGUGGUGUUUUGACCUUAGAAGCACAAGGCCCAUCCACCUCAGGUUCAACAGCAAACAUGAAGAAAUGUACAGGAUCUCCUCGAAAAAAUGAUGGCCUUUCUCAACGAGUCUUUCAAAAGCAAGUUCUACGACAUCUGCAAGUAAUGAGGCUCAUGCUGGAGCAAAACAGAG
rnacentral:lncRNA from 1 species